GGGUUCAUCUCAUUUGGCAAUUUGAAAGUAAAUAAAUUGUCAUCAAAAGAGAAAUUACAUGUAAAAUCCUUAAUCUUAUUCGUAAAUGGUAUCAUAAUAAGUUCAUAUUUAACCAAACAAAACCUGAUUAGUGCUUGUGAAAAUCUGGAUCCUUAACAACAGUCACUGGGCAGGUCGCAACAGACAAUACAUAAUUGGUCACACUUCCCAAGAAUAUCCUUUGGAGAGUACUGAGUCCUCUGCUACCCAUAACCAAAGAAUUCAACUUCAGAUGUUCAACAGCUUCACAUAAUUUCUCCCUAGCAUCUCCCCAAUAUAAUUUAAUAACAAUUUUUAUCUCUUUUUGCCUAGUAGCAGUAUCAAGCAAAUCAAGAAGUUCAAUAUCAGUCUCCACAUCAUAUUUCUUCAACACCUCAGCCUCCCUAAACUCCACCAAUGGAAUUAAAGGAGAACCAGAUUGAGCCCAGAGUUUAUUACGAGAUUCAUCAGAGGAAUGAGUCUUGAUGUGGAUGAUGUAAAAAGUGUCACCUUUAUCAGCCAAGUUAUCAAUUGCCCAUUUCAAAGCUGUUUUGCUGCUCUUUGAAAAAUCUACAGCCACACCAAUGGUUCUGUCUUUUACCAUUUUUGCUUUUUGAUUCUUCUUCUACUCUGUUUUUCUAGUAAAAAGAGAUACAGAGCAACUUAUUCUGUGUGA
rnacentral:misc_RNA from 1 species